AUUGAACGCUGGCGGCAGGCCUAACACAUGCAAGUCGAACGAGUGGCGGACGGGUGAGUAAUGUCUGGGAAACUGCCUGAUGGAGGGGGAUAACUACUGGAAACGGUAGCUAAUACCGCAUACCAUCAGAUGGGCCCAGAUGGGAUUAGCUGGUGGGGGGGGUAACGGCUCACCUAGGCGAAGAUCCCUAGCUGGUCUGAGAGGAUGACCAGCCACACUGGAACUGAGACACGGUCCAGACUCCUACGGGAGGCAGCAGUGGGUAAUAUUGCACAAUGGGCGCAAGCCUGAUGCAGCCAUGCCGCGUGUAUGAAGAAGGCCUUCGGGUUGUAAAGUACUUUCAGCGGGGAGGCGUUACCCGCAGAAGAAGCACCGGCUAACUCCGUGCCAGCAGCCGCGGUAAUUC
rnacentral:rRNA from 1 species